UGGGGAAUUUUGGACAAUGGGGGCAACCCUGAUCCAGCCAUGCCGCGUGCGGGAAGAAGGCCUUCGGGUUGUAAACCGCUUUUAACCGGGAAGAAAAGGCAUCUCUUAAUACGGGGUGUUCUUGACGGUACCGGUGGAAUAAGCACCGGCUAACUACGUGCCAGCAGCCGCGGUAAUACGUAGGGUGCGAGCGUUAAUCGGAAUUACUGGGCGUAAAGCGUGCGCAGGCGGUUCGUUAAGUUCGAUGUGAAAGCCCCGGGCUCAACCUGGGAACUGCAUUGGAAACUGGCGAGCUUGAGUGUGGCAGAGGGGGGUGGAAUUCCGCGUGUAGCAGUGAAAUGCGUAGAGAUGCGGAGGAACACCGAUGGCGAAGGCAGCCCCCUGGGCCAACACUGACGCUCAGGCACGAAAGCGUGGGGAGCAAACA
rnacentral:rRNA from 1 species